rnacentral:rRNA from 1 species
UACGAAGGGGGCUAGCGUUGCUCGGAAUUACUGGGCGUAAAGCGUGCGUAGUCGGUUACUCAAGUCGGAUGUGAAAUCCCCGGGCUCAACCUGGGAAUUGCAUUCGAAACUGAAUAGCUAGAGUUCGGCAGAGGGAAGUGGAAUUUCCGGUGUAGCGGUGAAAUGCGUAGAUAUCGGAAGGAACAUCAGUGGCGAAAGCGACUUCCUGGACCAGAACUGACGAUCAGGCACGAAAGCGUGGGGAGCAAACAGG